GCACCAAUGGCAUCAUCUCCACCCAGGACUUACCCAGGGAGACUUAAUAUGUCAUUGAUGAUUUUCCUACUGACUUCCCAGCCAUCGCCCCAUUCCUGGCUGACAGCCACUCGAGUCACAGCAGUGGCCGGAUCCUGUAUGGAGGACACAUCCUGGGAUGUGCUGAGUCUGGCUGCUUGCUACCUGUGCACAGGCUUCCCCCCUACCCACUUCUUCCUGGCCACCUGGGAGCAAGUGGGCGCCUAGGAGGAGGACAGGCUUGGUUGGGGCUGCGUGGUCUGGAGAGGAUAUGGAGACUUUGAUGAUUUUAAUCUGGAGCAUGCGCUGAAAGAAACUUCCUCAGUAAAGCGUGACUCAAACAAACAAGUCCACCAAGCAAGCACAAGUGGUCGGCCGUGCACCACACUGACAAUCUUGCCUUCAGAAAAGU
rnacentral:lncRNA from 1 species